UUGUCCUCAUUGCACAUUUUAAAUUUUUCAGUAUUUUACUUAAAUUAUGUGCAUAAGAAUAUUUACGUAUCUGAUUUAGUUGAUACAAAAUAUUUUAUGACGGCAAUUUUGCUCUUCGCCACUGGAUAUUCUUAGUAACAAUUUGAUGCGAUUGUUUGUUUGUGCAUCCUUUCAUUAGCGCUCGCUUUACGUUUACAAGUACAAAGAGAUAACAACCUAUUAAUUAUAUUUGUAUAGCCUGUUGAGCGCAAACGUCGUCCAACGAUAAGAUGAAGGCAAUAUACAUUAUUCACAGUUAUUUUUAGUCGCAUGUGUACAUUAUUAUUGUAGUUAUGGAGUCAGUUAAAAUUAACAAUUGGAAACCGUUUGGAAGCGAAAGUUUUAACGUUUAUUAACCACAAUUUUGGAACAAUGUGUUAAAGCGUAUCGACAAAGCUAAUCAACUCAAAUGCGUUUAAUGCGUGAAAAUUAUAUUUUCCUGUCGAAGCGUAUGCACAUGCAUGAGCCUGAAGGCAGUUAUACGUACUUCAAUCGAAAUCGGUAUUAAUUCACUUUUAAUAGUGAAAUAUUGGCUUUUUGAUCCGAGAUAUGAGUGACUCAAUUGUGGUUAUUUCAAUGAUAUUUGCAAUUUUAUAUAUUCAGUAAUAUUUUAUUUACUUUUAUCCGGUACCUAAUAACGUUCUGUUAUUGUUCAUUAUUCUUUGGGGAAACCUUUCAUUAAUUUUAUAAUUAAUUUUGAAUAUUUCUCAAAAAUUACGUAUUUCUGAUAUUGUUUUAAAGAUGGUGGUCGAGGCGCUUUUACAUAUACAUAGUUAGUUCACAGUUGGCAAUAUAAAGCUAUUCGUUCUUGAAACGUGUGAAAGGUGUGUUCCAGUCGUUUCUACAGUCUGCAUUUAUCGGUUCCUUCAACUGAGCCCACUUUUUUUCAUAUUUAAAUGAUUAUCCUAAAAUUCAGUUUAGAACUGUGCUAUAAAAUAUUUAAUUCAAAACAAAUAAAAGCAAUAUUUGAAAAUUCAACCGGACAAUGUUUGAAUGCUCAAUUCAGCUGAUUUAACACACACGUAUAUUUAUUGUAAAGCUGUGGUUAACAAUUACGAAAUGUGUUUGUUUGCUUUGACAUCAUCAGCACGUUUGUUGUUGAUAACGACAUCGAUUCAAUCGAAUAUUUACUUUAGUUCUAUUUUCUAACGAACUCCGCUUCAAACACACCUCGGUUCCUGAGACGUCACACGGAAGUCAUUACAGGAUAUAGGCCUAAGUCCCUCGGACGUCCCGGAACGUCCCCAUAUGUACGUGCGACGUCCAUGGGAUAUACUUUUGAGACUGUUCGGGCUAUGUAAGGGAUGAUCCUGUAAAGGUCAUUUCGGACAUCACUGGGAUUAUAGCCUGGUUGUUUAGAGAAGAUAUGUGAAACGUUCUUACGUCAAUAGUCAACCGUAAAAUUAUUGCUAGGAUCAAAUAUGUAUAAAGUAACAAAAAACUUUCUAAAAACGUUGAAGGCAGGUUUACAAUUUGGAAAAUUCAGGAUGGAAGCAAUUUAAAAGAAACAAAAUACUGAACUAAUAACGUAUACCUAUAUUUGAAAACAAUCAAAAAACGUUUACGUAUGGUAUCAAACUAAACUUAUUUUUGCUGUGCUCUUCUAUCUGAAACCGGUAAAGUAAUUUUUUUCUUUUCCAGUCUUUCCGGCGCGUACCUAAGCCAAUUUUGAGCUUCAAUUUCAAUGUCCUUUCGUGUUGGUAUAAAUAGCGGAUUUUUAGCAAGCCAUCUGUAAUAAAAAAGAGAUAUGUUUUAUCAUUUAUAAAUCCAACUAAAGGUUCUUGAGAAACUUCUACUUCAGGCCUCGCCACCGAUGUUAGAACUAGGUCCCUAAGUCGGAUCACAUCAAUUCGGAUCGAAAAUAACCAGCGAAGCUGGAGUCCCACACAGCCCAGAGCGCCAGAUCAUCAGCUCUAAGUGUGCGUAAGAGAGCAUUUUCCAAACCUCACCGAAAAAAAAGUUCAUUCUUUCAAAUGCUGUAUUUUUUAAUUGAAACUUUUAUUUCUGCUAAAACCCCUGCGUUCGAACUAUGGACUAUUUGGAAAUAGCAGUUAACA
rnacentral:lncRNA from 1 species